rnacentral:rRNA from 1 species
CCUACGGGAGGCAGCAGUGAGGAAUAUUGGUCAAUGGUCGGGAGACUGAACCAGCCAAGCCGCGUGAGGGAGGAAGGUACAGAGUAUCGUAAACCUCUUUUGUCAGGGAACAAAGACUGGGACGCGUCCCCGGAUGAGUGUACCUGAAGAAAAAGCAUCGGCUAACUCCGUGCAAGCAGCCGCGGUAAUACGGAGGCUGCGAGCGUUAUCCGGAUUUAUUGGGUUAAAGGGGUGCGCAGGCGGUUUGUAAUGUCAGCGGUCAAAGCCCGGGGCCAAACCCCGGCCCGCCGUUGAAACUGGCAGUCUCGAGUUGGAGAGAGGUAGGCGGAAUGCGCGGUGUAGCGGUGAAAUGCAUAGAUAGCGCGCAGAACUCCGAUUGCGAAGGCAGCAUGCCGGCUCCACACUGACGCUGAGGCACGAAAGCGUGGGUAUCGAACAGGAUUAGAUACCCCUGUAGUC